rnacentral:rRNA from 1 species
CCUACGGGGUGCAGCAGUGAGGAAUAUUGGUCAAUGGACGAGAGUCUGAACCAGCCAAGUAGCGUGAAGGAUGACUGCCCUAUGGGUUGUAAACUUCUUUUAUAUGGGAAUAAAACGUUCCACGUGUGGGAUUUUGUAUGUACCAUAUGAAUAAGGAUCGGCUAACUCCGUGCCAGCAGCCGCGGUAAUACGGAGGAUCCGAGCGUUAUCCGGAUUUAUUGGGUUUAAAGGGAGCGUAGGUGGAUUGUUAAGUCAGUUGUGAAAGUUUGCGGCUCAACCGAAAAAUUGCAGUUGAAACUGGCAGUCUUGAGUACAGUAGAGGUGGGCGGAAUUCGUGGUGUAGCGGUGAAAUGCUUAGAUAUCACGAAGAACUCCGAUUGCGAAGGCAGUUCACUGGACUGCAACUGACACUGAGGCUCGAAAGUGUGGGUAUCAAACAGGAUUAGAUACCCUUGUAGUC